rnacentral:rRNA from 1 species
CGGAGAGGGAGCAUGAGAAACGGCUACCACAGCUACGGUAGGCAGCAGGUGCGUAAAUUACCCAAUCCAAAAUCUGGAAGGUAGUUACAGGAAAUUUGUUGCAUGGGAUUCUAUCCCAGACACAAACGAACACAUGUAAGUAUUGUGUGUUUAAUUGGAGGGCAAGUUUUGGUGCCAGCAGCCGCGGUAAUUCCAACUCCAAGAGUGUAUCUUAAUGUUGCUGCAGUUAAAAAGCUCGUAGUUGAACCUCUGGCUAGUGAGGGCCCAUCCGGGCCGUUCGCUAGUCAUCCGCUCGGGGAAGCAGUAUUUCUUUAAUCGGUUUUACUGUAGAUCCAGCAUUUUACUUUGAAGAAAUUAGAGUGUUCCUGGCCAGGCUUAGCUUGCAUAUAUUAGCAUGGAAUAAUGGAAUAGGACCUUGUCUCUGUUUUAUUGGUUGACAGAUAGGUAAUGAUUAACAGGGACAGUCGGGGGCAUUCGUACUCAGUGGCUAGAGGUGAAAUUCUUAGAUUCGCUGAAGACGAACUAAUGCGAAAGCAUUUGCCAAGGAUGUUUUCAUUAAUCAAGAACGAAAGUUAGGGGAUCAAAGACGAUUAGAUACCGUCGUAGUCCUAGCCAUAAACUAUACCGACUAGGGAUUGGUGUGGGUCAUAAUCCAUAUCAGCACCUAAUGAGAAAUCAAAGUCUUUGGGUUCUGGGGGGAGUAUGGUCGCAAGGCUGAAACUUAAAGGAAUUGACGGAAGGGCACCACCAGGAGUGGAGCCUGCGGCUUAAUUUGAUUCAACACGGGGAAACUUACCAGGGCAAGACCUUAGAAGGAUUGACAGAUUGAUAGCUUUUUCUUGAUUUGAGGGAUGGUGGUGCAUGGCCGUUCUUAGUUCGUGGAGUGAUUUGUCUGGUUAAUUCCCUUAACGAACGAGACCCUAACCUGCUAACCUAGACGCGGUUAUCUUUUAGCCGUUGUGCUUCUUAGAGGGACUAUGCGUCAAAAAAUGCAUGGAAGUUUGAGGCAAUAACAGGUCAGUGAUGCCCUUAGACGUCCUGGGCCGCACGUGUGCUACACUGGUACAUUCAGCAAGUUCUAACCUAACCCGAUAGGGGCUGGGUAAUCUUCAUAAUAUGUACCGUGCUUGGGAUUGAUCUUUGCAAUUAUGGAUCAUGAACGAGGAAUUCCUAGUAAGUGCAAGUCAUCAUCUUGUACUGAUUACGUCCCUGCCCUUUGUACACACCGCCC